GAAUGAAAGAGAUAGAUACUGCAGACCUUAGGUAACAAUGUAUCAAUAACGAUUCAUCCAUCCUAACGAAUGUGCAAUUCCAAAGUGAGAUGUUAGUGACAGAAGCAGCUAGAAGAGUACACGGCCACUCUGCGCUUUCUGCAAACCUAACACUGCUCCAAAGCUCUAUUACUUAAAGCAAAACCAAAACCGUUUUCUAUUAGCUAAGUAGCACAUCUGACUCAGGGCAUCGGGAGAUGCCGAAGAUGUUAGGGCACAGUCUCCUGCAAUGACUCAGACGCAUGUUAAUUUAUUUAUGUACUACCAUUUGUCCUCACAGAGAUGGGGGCUUGUGUAUAUUAAUGUCCUGCUUUUCUGGCUAACAGUGGAAAGGCAGAAAGCAUUUCUUUGUUGGCUUCUACCCAGCUGCCUUCAGAUCAAAAUGACGACGCUGUUUAAGGGGGUGUAUUUUGAGUGACAUAUUCUGGUCUCCAAAGUGUGCUGCCUUUUCUCUUACCUUACAGUUCCUCAUUUAUCAUCUCUGUAUUCCCAUUAGCACACCCCGAGCACAUGAUCUUCUAGUCCUGGGGAUGGAGAGUACAGGCCAUCACAGGAAGAGAGAAGUCACCCUCCUGGGAGUGCCAGGGAGCCAGGCAGGGCCUGCACGGAUCUGCAGGUUGACACAGCGUUCCCUCUGCAGAGAGAGGUCUGCGUGGAGCACACAGCACCUGCCCCUGGAAGCCUGCAGCAAGCAGGCCUCCACAGAAGCAGGGAGGAGGGUGACUUCACAGCUUGGGCCGAAUGGCUCUCGCAACAAUUCUUGCCCAACAGCACGGACUCCUGGGAUGACCUCGUGUUAGUCCCCUCCUGUCUCCCUCAUUUCCAACUUUUCGGAAGCCUUUCUCUCUCCAUCACUUCUCUGCAUUUCCUGGGCCUUCGCUUUGAUCUGGCCUCCUUUGCUAUUUCAGGAAUACCGUAUUGUUCUUCAGGGUUGUGUGUGCCUACAGCCUCGAAUGAGCCCGGUCUCUGGCCAUCAGUACUUGAAUUAAAUUGGUGGCACCAGUUCCACCAAGCGUCCUGAGAAUCUGUUUAACAGAGGCAAGGCCACUGCUUCCGGGCAGGCUGCGGACUGUGCGCUCACUUAGGAAAACUGAAUGUCUGCUUCCUCCCCGGCUCCUCAGGUGUGAUACCGUGUGUCUAACAUCUGUGUGUGAGGGGAUCCUUGGUUGUUAGCUGUUCUUUGUUAGGUUCCCCUGUAACUGGGACCAGCUCUAAAAUCACAUUUUCCACAUCUAAUUCCUCCUCAAAGCCAUUCUUCUCACUGAUAGUGUAACCCGAGCCUGACGUGUUCAAGUCCGCCCAGGAGAAAACAAAGCCCAACGCUAAGGAUACGUGAAGCGUAGGCCUUUUCAAGUCUUGGGCUUCCUCUCCGUUUCCUGGGUCCAGACUGAGCCUCAACAACAAUUUAAAGGAACCAGGCUGAAGCAGAGGCAGAGAGAGCAGCAAAACUGCCCUGUGAUUGGACAAAGAAGGAUCAGACACUGAUGCGUUGCAGGUAUCCAUGGCAGCCUGGCAGGUGCUCAAGAGUGGUCCUCGGAACUCCCAGGGCUCUCCGAGGCCCAUUUUACAGCCAGUUCAUGGGACCAACUGGGCGAGGAGCCAGCACCACAUGGAACGGGGACGGGAGGCAGGAGGCGGCCGCUCUCCUCUCGGGCACUAUCUCGAGCCCCGGGCUGCACAACAGCUGGCACUGCUUACCGCUGAGCUCGGCAGGACCCUAGGUGGGGACCUGCAGACUCUGAUUGGAAACUCCUGUGGCCUUUAAGGGCGUGUGACUACAGGGGGAGGCAUCUUGGGGGCCCUCUCUGCCCCAAGAGCUCUCUCUGGGGACCGGGUCGUCAGGCUCCUGAGGCUGGAGUUCCUCAGUGGCCUCCCCAGGUUCAGCGUGGGGACAGUUGUGAACCACUGUGGCAGGGGACAGCCUGGCUCACGACACGCAGGAAGGCCAAGAAAGACAUUUCCCGAACUCCCAGGAGGUGGCCUAGGUUCUGCUAAGCGGCAGUGCUCACGUGGAACCUGGAGGAGGAUGUGCGUCACACGGUGGGGGGAUCAGAACUGCUGGCAACCCAGGGUGGGGACCCCACACGCAACGGCUGCCACGGGAGAAGCACCAGGGGUGGCGCUGCACUGGCCCUGGCUGCACUGCCAGCGCCGGGGUGUCCCUGGGCGUCUUCGCUGGUCUCCAUCUUUCCUAAGGCUGCUGAAAAACUCAGCCCCAACCUCACGUGCAGAGGAUUCUGUUGUCUGCAACCCAGCGCACACAUGUGCCCCACACCUGUGUCCCUCAGCGCCACUCUGGGGGGCCCAGGGGCUCACACUACAAGUGAUUUGAAUUUCUAAAGCAACAAAUUGCAAUAAAUGGCAGUUAUCGGAAGCAUCUCAUUAUCUGAGAUGAUUCCUCAGAUAUUACAAGUACAUAAGGGACUGUAACUCAAGCAACGCCUUGGGAGCCGUUUUCAGUGUUUUAAGAGCCCCAUCAUGCUCCUUUGCGUGAAGGCACCUCUGACACUGCACAGGGACCCUUUCUGGAAUGUUAGGUACUCUUGCUUAACGAGCAACCUUUGUUCAGGCAUCCACUCAAGCCCUGGGGAAGGCCCUUCUUUAGGGUCCCCUAAGUCACUGCCUCGUAGCGUUGGGAAGGCACCACCAUGUGCAGCAGCUAGGAAAAUGGGCACUUCGGUGUCACGGCCAGCAACACUCCUCUGCAGCCACCCGCCGGUCAGUGCCACCCAGAUACCAGCCACCUUCACACACCUCCCUGGUCUAGAGAAGACGGACACCCACAGGGGGACUUACACAGAGUAUUCUUCUCUCCAGGUGCCACCAGGGCUGCCAGGGCUCUGCCUUGGAGGAUCCAGUGCCGCACUGUAAACUAGCAAUCUCCAAAGUCUUCCAAAGGCCAACACCCAGCACUUUGGCCGCUGGGGUCCCCAGGAGACUGCCCUCGUGUCCACAUGUAAAUACAGGAGUCAGGCUGGUCCUGACCUGUGAGCUCCGCCAUCAUACAGACACACGCAUACUGGCCGGCGUUCCCAUGUGCCCUUGGUCCUGAGCCCGCAAGCCCGGCCCCAAAGGGCGCUGGUGCAGGGAGGGAAACACACUGGGCGCUCAAGUGCUUGGAGUGCUUUGGGAUGGCCUCUGCAGCCUGAGCUGCCCCUCCACUGCGGCCUCCUCCUGCAACACGGUACCGCGAGCACCGACCUUACGAGGUGCUGGGGAGACACACUGAGCGGCCAGUACACUGCAAGGGCCACUUAGGGUUCACAGGGAUGUUUGACAACAUGCUCCCAAGGAAAAGGAUCCCAAGGAUGACAAAUCCCAAGGAAACACGCUCCUCUCUCAAAUAGCCUUCCUUAUAAAUCCAGGCUGGGAAGUAGUGUUUGAACUUGGGGGCUGCUGUCAAGUGACCAAGACUGCCCACCUCUUGCAGAGGCUCCAGAGUUCACAUUGGAAAUGAUCCUCACAUCAGCUUGGUAUAAACACGGUAGUUUGCAAACUGACCCCAAGCAUUUCACGCGGCUCUGGAGCCCAGGUUGAUUAGCCCCCAUGCCAGGGCCCAGAUGGAAAUUUAUACCAAAUAACACUGCAGAAAGGCACCAGAGCUACAGGUUUUUUAAGACUGCAAGUUUUGAAAAGCUGAUGCAGGUUAACGCACGGCUCAGGCCCGAGCUCUAGAAGUGUGCCUGCUGCCAAGUGGGGAGUGGAACAGUAUCUCUCCUUUAUGGACUUACCGCUUGUCCACCGGCCGCGCUGACGAGAGUGAAGACAAACUCUGAGCAGGGGACGGACCGAGGCCCAGCGUGUAUGGGAAACAUCCCAGGACCCCUCCCCAGGCAGCUGGUUCUUCCCGUCUGAGUGUCCCUCCUCCCACCACACAGGGCCGGACCCUGCGCCCCCAGUCAGAUACAGGAUUCCAGCUACUGAAUUCUUUCAACGUGGAGGGCGUGGCCGGAUGUGCCCAGGGACUCACAAGCAGCUGGGUCAACCCCUGACCCUCCAAAGGCAGCACCGGGUCUGCAAAUGCUGUUCUCCACCCGAGUCUGAUGGGAGAGCUGCCUGCUCUGCGGGGCAUUUCCUGCUCCUUCCGUGCUCCAACCACACACUGCUCCGGACUCCCUCCAGUCGGGUGCUGUGUUAGCGGGUGGUUCCUUUACCUACAGCUUAUUUCUGCCUAGGCUCUGUGAGGAGAGAGGUGUGUUCUUGUUCACUGCUGCAGCCCUCCUGCCUCGGACAGGCCCUGGCGCACGGCGGGUGCUCAGCAGGCCCCGAGUGCAGCGCCACUGGUGCCGUCAGCGCGAAGGGGUGGUCGCCACUCAGGCAGGUGGGCCGGGGGAAGGGAUUUCAUGCAGCAACACACUUUCCGGAUGAAGAUGUGGCGGCAGUUAAAGUGUUCUCCAGGGCUUCCUUGGGACCCCCAGCUAUUUCAGACGGGGAACUCAUCCCUGUCCCCAGUGUCCCCUUAACCAGUCUCCAACCAGUUCUGCUCACUGGGGCAGAACACGUGGUCUAAAUGCACAAACGAAUGAAGGGACAGAUGGUAAAACCUGCCCUGUGACUGGUCUGCUUUGGCCAGUGGAUGUCAGCCGCCACAGUCAGUGUUUACUUCAGGUUCAAACUAAGAACAAAGCUUCGGGGUUGCAGUGGGAAGUGAGGCAGGGCGAGCAAAGAGCUGGGAGGCAGAGUCAGGAAGGGGCCAUGCAGCAAGAGGAGAUGGAAAACAACCUGGGACAGUCAGGGAACCCUGGGCCAUGCCUCCAGGACGAAGGCGGAGGAACUUCUGCGUUUCCUGUUUUCACGACUUUCUCAUGAGGAGGCUGGAACUGUCCAUCGUCCCCUGCACUGGGGGUUGUGCCUGUCUGGGAUGACAGGCUCACGUGGCCUGCUCCACGUGCACAAGCAUAACGAGAUAGGGGCGCUAGAAGCCGCGGAGCUCCGAGUUCCAGUGCUGCUGGCCCCCUGUGCCUCAGCUGCAAGCAGAAAGGACCAAGUCAUGACCUCUGACGCUCUGGCCUGGAGCUCUGAUGAGUGUCCAAGGCACAAGGAGCGCCAGGGCCAAAGGAAUUUUCCACAGUCGAUACUCACUAGUUAACUUGUAUGCAAACUAAAGUAGCUUGGAAUUUACAUGUAUUUGUUAUUGUAUCAACUAGCAUUUUUAAAAGCAUUUUUACUGAUAUAUUUUUAAUUAUUUGAGCGUGGUUAUUUUCCCUUAAUUAGUAAAAAAGGAUCUUAAUCAUAGUAAAUGGGCUAUUAUUUAUCAACAGGCUAAGUUAAGAGAAGAAUCCCUCCUCAUCUAGCUGCGAAAAGACGUUUAGAAUUGUGCUCAGAGCUUCUUAUGUGCCGAGACAGAAUGAACCACAGAGACAGGAACAUUCCUCUCAGAGAAUCUUGUCUUUGUCACAGGUACGACAAAGAACGUGUAUUUUGUGUUACAGAAUUCAUCUUUCUGCACCUUGCUUUCCUCAUCUUGAAAGCUUGCAGGAGUUGUGGGUUUUAAUGUGUCCCCCUCCAAGAUGUGAAAGGUCAUGGUGGACUGACAACUGGAGGUCAGCUUGUAACACCCAGCUGAACUGAGUCAGCGUGGUUCUGGGUGUG